rnacentral:lncRNA from 1 species
UUCAGAAUAUAUUUUCAACUCCCCUCCUCUCCCUUCCUCCUCCUAGGGUUUUGAGGGCACCAGCUCCUGACCUCACAAGGGUGGAUGCUCUUGAAAAGCCAACGUCUUCUUCCUGAAAAGAUCAGUUUUUCCCUACUUUGACUGCAAGACAAAAACAGAAGAACUGUCCCAGAGGCUCCUCUCAAAUAACCCCAGAGAAUGUCCAUCUCCUCUCCCUCCUCCCCUGCUGAACAGCCAGUAUGAACAGAGACAGCACUCUAUAGGUGUAUUAAAAAUGAGGUAAGCUCUAAACAGAAGCUGUGCCCAGUGGUUUUUACUGCCUACUGCUCUCCUUCCCAUUUACAGCUCUCUGAUUGAUGUCAGGUAAAUUCCCU